rnacentral:rRNA from 1 species
GAUAUCCUACGGGAGGCAGCAGUGAGGAAUAUUGGUCAAUGGGCGCAAGCCUGAACCAGCCAAGUCGCGUGAGGGAAGACGGCCCUACGGGUUGUAAACCUCUUUUGCCGGGGAGCAAGCCUGAGCACGUGUGCCCAGGCGGAGAGUACCCGGAGAAAAAGCAUCGGCUAAUUCCGUGCCAGCAGCCGCGGUAAUACGGAAGGUCCGGGCGUUAUCCGGAUUUAUUGGGUUUAAAGGGAGCGUAGGCCGGUCUUUAAGCGUGCCGUGAAAUUUUGUGGCUCAACCAUGAGAGUGCGGCGCGAACU